GUGUCAGCAGCCGCGGUAAUACGUAGGCAGCAAGCGUUGUUCGGAGUUACUGGGCGUAAAGAGUGUGUAGGCGGUUGUCCAAGUCUGUUGUGAAAUCUCCCGGCUUAACUGGGAGGGUGCGGCGGAAACUGGACGGCUUGAGUGUGGGAGAGGGAAGUGGAAUUCCUGGUGUAGCGGUGAAAUGCGUAGAUAUCAGGAGGAACACCGGCGGUGUAGACGGCUUCCUGGACCACCACUGACGCUGAGACACGAAAGCGUGGGGAGCAAACAGGAUUAGAUACCCUGGUAGUCCACGCCCUAAACGAUGCAUACUUGGUGUGAGCCAUUCAUUUGGUUCGUGCCGUAGCUAACGCGUUAAGUAUGCCGCCUGGGGAGUACGGUCGCAAGGCUGAA
rnacentral:rRNA from 1 species